UGGUAUGACAUGAGUGUACAGAACAUGGAGAGGUACAACUAUGGUAUGACAUGACUGUACUGAACAUGGAGAGGGACAACUAUGGUAUGGCACUGUACUGAACAUGGAGAGGUACAACUAUGGUAUGACGUGACUGUACUGAACAUGGAGAGGUACAACUAUGGUAUGACGUGACUGUAC